rnacentral:rRNA from 1 species
UAGCCGUAAACGAUACUCGCUAGGUGUCGGCCACGGUGCGACCGUUGUCGGUGCCGUAGGGAAGCCGUGAAGCGAGCCACCUGGGAAGUACGGCCGCAAGGCUGAAACUUAAAGGAAUUGGCGGGGGAGCACAACAACGGGUGGAGCUUGCGGUUUAAUUGGAUUCAACGCCGGAAAUCUUACCGGGACCGACAGCAACAUGAAGGCCAAGCUGAAGACUUUGCCGGAUUAGCUGAGAGGAGGUGCAUGGCGUAGUCGUGU